rnacentral:rRNA from 1 species
GACGUAGGGUGCGAGCGUUGCUCGGAAUCACUGGGCGUAAAGCGCACGUAGGCGGAUUGUUAAGUCAGGGGUGAAAUCCUGGAGCUCAACUCCAGAACUGCCUUUGAUACUGGCACUCUCGAGUCCGGGAGAGGUGAGUGGAACUGCGAGUGUAGAGGUGAAAUUCGUAGAUAUUCGCAAGAACACCAGUGGCGAAGGCGGCUCACUGGCCCGGUACUGACGCUGAGGUGCGAAAGCGUGGGGAGCGAACAGG